rnacentral:lncRNA from 1 species
UAAUGCCCACGUUUAGAUUGCCCUAUGGCGGUUUGUGUCGGUGGUGAACCUGUUGAAUCUGUACCCGAUUCACGUUUACCAUUUUGUUUGAAUUUCAGUUAUCAUUUGGUAUCAGAGCCGAAGCGAUCCGUUUCGACUUGAACUCCCCUACCUUCACGUAUCAUUUCCUUUAUCAAAUCCACAAAAAAACAACCCGUUACCCGCAACCUCAAUCCGACAGAGAAUACACGAGCUACCCGAAUUAAAUCAAGUGGUGUAUCUGUAUUUUGGUUUGGUUAUGGAGUUUCUCUAUGAAGUUAUUCGAAUGGUGUGACUUUAGUUUGAGUAAAUUCAUAAACUUCUUUCAAGUUUGAGGUCAAACUUUCUUCAAGAAGGAGAAUGAUAAUAUGAUAUAUAUCCCCGGUCAACAAUUGUUUUGAUGGCGCAUGGAUUUGUUCACAAAGUCUCUAGAGGGGCAAAUUAGUAAAUUUGGUUGCAAACACAUCGACACUUGCAGCAUAACUCCACCAGAGUUUGCAAAGUCUAUUUUUCUUCAUUUAAUAAUUCUGCUUUUUUUGUUCUUAGUUUAGUGUUUAGUUUAAUUUAAUGUUUUUGCAUGUUUAACUUUAGCCAAUUUAGGGGCUGUUUGGCAACAUCUGAAUGGUUAAGGAGGUCUGAACCAUUAAGUGCUGAACCAGUAAGAGGUUUGAACCAUUAAGAACUAGUAUAAAGCUUAACCGUUCAGAGGCAAAUCUCUGACCAAUUCAGAUUAGAGGUCUUAACUAACUAUUCAGACUCAGUAUAAUGCUUUACCAUUCAGAAGCAAUUGUCUGAACCAUUCAGACAUCUGCUCAUGAAACAAACAAUCUGAACCAGUAAGAGGUCUGAACCAUUAAAAGCCCCAUUAAGAGGUAAACUAACAGCCCCUUAGUGGAGAUCAUGGGUAGUUUCUGGAGCUUAACUGCUUGUAAUUAUUCUAAUUAGACUACGAUGGAAAUGAGAAUGAGCAGACAAUUUUAGAAUGAAGAAAAUUAUUUUGUUCAUUUUAUCUCAUUGGAUUAUGGGUUAAAAUUAAUGCUCUAUGCUAGCUCAACCGUGGCACGUUGAGUGGUGUUCUUAGACACAAUUUUCCAAACAGAAGUGGUGAAUCUGUAUCUUCGGUUAGAAAUCGCAGCCCUACGGUUUCGUUUGGUGGUGAAUCUGUAUCCAAACGAGUCGUAGAUCUAUCGUUUUUUUAUUGUUUGAUUUGAACCGGUGAUUCGGGGUCUUACUCCUAUCAGUGUAUUGUUUCAAACACCUAUGAAGGAUGUCAUAGAUGUUUAUUUUGCUUGUAUAUAUGUUUUUGAAAGCUACACAUGGUUCUACUUUACCACUAGAAGAAACGGUAAAGGUUUGGUUAUCUAAUAAUAGGAUGUCAUAGAUGUUUAUUAUAUUUUUUUUAAGCUAAACAGCAUGAUCUGCUCAUUAAGCUAAACUGCUUGAUGUGCAGGCGAUGCUCUUGUUGGGUCGGUUCUGGUAGUCGCCUUCUGUUAUCUUUUUAAUACAUCUGUUAUAUAUUAUAUCGAAUUAGUUAGUUGUUUGUUAACUCAGAUUUCAUAUUGUCUGUGUGUUUCCUUUUCAGUUUUUUUAAAACUGAAAUCGUUUAAUUUUAAAAUUGAAACCGUUUAAAAAUAAUUUAUCUUCUCAAAUUUCUUGUUUAAAAUGAAUAAAAUAAUACAACAAACAUAAAAUAAAUUACAACGAAAUACAAUUUACUUACCGUGUGUAUGAAAAGUAAUCUAAACGAUGUAAUUACUUGCGUUGCUACAGGACUUGAUGAGCUGGGUACCAACCGGUACCGAAAUCCCCAAAGUGGGUACGAGUAUUGAAUAUACCGGUACGGUUUGGUACCGGUCGGUACUGGUACGGUACUGAUAUUUGAGGGUAAAAACCGGUGCCAAAACGGUACCGAAAAUGUCAAAAGUCGGUACCGAAUGUAUACCCGGUUUGGAAAAUUUAAUACCGAUACCCAUACCGCUCAUCCCUUAGUUAUGUUACUAUUCAUUGGGUUCUAUUUUUAAUAUAUAGGUAAUAUAUAGGUAAUUUCAUCACAUAUUCUACCAAUUUCAGUGUUGUUUAGCUGUUUGACACCAAUGACAAUUCACUGUUUUCUAACUUGUAAACAUUGGUUUGUUUGAGCCGAAUGUUGGUGCGUUUGUUUGUGGACCUACAUUGUAAGUAGCUACAAUAUUUUUAACCAUUUUGGUAAUCCUGAUCCGCAGUACAAACUAAAGUAAAACCUAGUUGUAUUUGUUAGAGCUUUGAACAGCGUUGCAUUUACGAAACAGAAAUUAAGGGUGCUAAAAGAACCUGAAAGGCUGAAACCGAUUGAAAAAUGUGAAGCCGAAAACAUUUGCGAUAGGUAUCCAGGUGUGUGGUUAGAUUGGAUGUGUUCAUGUGUAUGUUAUUAGGUUAUACUAGCACUAUUACCCGAACCCGUUUAGUGCCAAAAAUCGAAUAUACUCACUCAUAUGUAUUAUAUAUAACUUAAGAAAAUAAUAAAUAGCAUGCUAAAGUUGAAAACUUCAUUGAAAUUAGACUUAUUAGAAAUGUAGUUGAGUAUUUGAUAUUCCAAGUCGGAUUUUGAGGUAGGUUUAGGAUCUGGUAACAGGCAUUGCAUUUGCAACCAGUGCCGGCUCAAUGUUAUGUGAAAAUAAGCAGCUGCUGCUUAGGGCUUCGUGAAGUAAUUCUCGAUACGGGCGGGCUGUAAUAACCCUCGGUGCGAAACAUGAUUUGAGUUGCAAAGCUGGGUGGAAAACACUAGUUUAGCGGCAUCUUCUAAAUCGUAAGUAUAGUUCAGGCGUUCAGCAAAUAUUCUUCUAUCUUCAUGAAGUGCACACCAAAUUCCAACAUGAUGGGCCAUAUUGCUUAUUAAAGACAACUUAUGGUAACAAGCAGGUUCCAAAAUUCCUUUCUGUUUGCGUACUAAAACAUUUUGACAACCAAUCCUGAAUACAAGAGCAUAGUCAUAGGAUUCGCUGCACCACCCGCGUUCCGUCAUCCGUGAAGUAGAUUGCACGUACUGGAAUCGUGUACAAAAGCAACCCAAACGCCAUGGGUUUGCGAUCUGGAUCAGGAAAUUAGGCUGUACCCGAUUUUCAACAAAUUCGACCCUAGUCACUAAAAACCAGUACCCGAUUGAUUAACUUGUUGUUUCGGAACUAUCCGAUACCCGUCUCAUACACCAGCUAUUGGCCUAUUGCCAUCUGUAAAAGAAGUAUAAUUUCUAAAUUAGUUGAAAAUAAUAAAACAGCAUAAAUAUUAUGUAUUGGAAAAAUGUUUACUAAAAAGGAGUUACAUAUGUUGUGGGGAAUGGGUGUCGGAGUGGUAGAUUGAGUUGGUGAAUUACAUUCAAUAUUGUCAUGUAUGUAUUUCAUAUUUUCAACUCCU